UACGGAGGGUGCAAGCGUUGUCCGGAAUCACUGGGCGUAAAGGGCGCGUAGGCGGCUCAUGAAGGCUGUGGUGAAAGUCCGGGGCUCAACCUCGGAUCGGCCGUGGCGACUCGUGGGCUGGAGCACUGUAGAGGCGGGUGGAAUUCCGGGUGUAGCGGUGGAAUGCGUAGAGAUCCGGAAGAACACCAGUGGCGAAGGCGGCCCGCUGGGCAGUGGCUGACGCUGAGGCGCGACAGCGUGGGGAGCAAACAG
rnacentral:rRNA from 1 species